GCAUAUCAAUAAGCGGAGGAAAAGAAACCAACAGGGAUUGCCUCAGUAACGGCCGAGUGAAAGCGGCAACAGCUCAAAUUUGAAAGCUGGCCCCUUUUAGGGUCCGCGUUGUAAUUUGUAGAGGAUGAUUCGGCGAGGGCUCCCGCCUAAGUCCCCUGGAACGGGGCGUCAUAGAGGGUGAGAAUCCCGUAUGCGGUGGGCUGCCUUAGCCAUGUGAAUCUCCUUCGACGAGUCGAGUUGUUUGGGAAUGCAGCUCUAAAUGGGAGGUAAAUUUCUUCUAAAGCUAAAUACCGGCCAGAGACCGAUAGCGCACAAGUAGAGUGAUCGAAAGAUGAAAAGCACUUUGGAAAGAGAGUUAAAAAGUACGUGAAAUUGUUGAAAGGGAAGCGCUUGCAACCAGACUUGUCCGCAGUUGCUCAGCCGGUCUCCUGACCGGCGUACUCUUCUGCGGCCAGGCCAGCAUCAGUUCGGGCGGUCGGAUAAAGACCUCGGGAAUGUAGCUCCUCUCGGGGAGUGUUAUAGCCCGGGGUGGAAUGCGGCCAGCCUGGACUGAGGAUCUCGCUUCGGCAAGGAUGCUGGCGUAAUGGUUGUAAGCGGCCCGUCUUGAAACACGGACCAAGGAGUCUAACAUCUAUGCGAGUGUUUGGGUGUCAAACCCAUACGCGUAAUGAAAGUGAACGGAGGUGGGAACCCGCAAGGGCGCACCAUCGGCCGAUCCUGAUGUCUUCGGAUGGAUUUGAGCAAGAGCAUAGCUGUUGGGACCCGAAAGAUGGUGAACUAUGCCUGAAUAGGGUGAAGCCAGAGGAAAGCUCUGGUGGAGGCUCGCAGCGGUUCUGACGUGCAAAUCGAUCGUCAAAUUUGGGUAUAGGGGCGAAAGACUAAUCGAAACCAUCUAGAUAGAAUGGCUCUGCGAAG
rnacentral:rRNA from 1 species